GUGGGGAAUAUUGGACAAUGGGGGGAACCCUGAUCCAGCCAUGCCGCGUGUGUGAAGAAGGCCUUUUGGUUGUAAAGCACUUUAAGCGAGGAGGAGGCUACCGAGAUUAAUACUCUUGGAUAGUGGACGUUACUCGCAGAAUAAGCACCGGCUAACUCUGUGCCAGCAGCCGCGGUAAUACAGAGGGUGCAAGCGUUAAUCGGAUUUCCUGGGCGUAAAGCGCGCGUAGGUGGCCAAUUAAGUCAAAUGUGAAAUCCCCGAGCUUAACUUGGGAAUUGCAUUCGAGGCUGGGUGGCUAGAGUAUGGGAGAGGAUGGUAGAAUUCCAGGUGUAGCGGUGAAAUGCGUAGAGAUCUGGAGGAAUACCGAUGGCGAAGGCAGCCAUCUGGCCUAAUACUGACACUGAGGUGCGAAAGCAUGGGGAGCAAACAGGAUUAGAAACCCCUGUAGUCC
rnacentral:rRNA from 1 species